UUAUUUAUUUAUUUAUUUAUACUUUAGUUAUUACUCUAUUGGUAAAUACCUAGUUCCUGAUAUUCAUGCGUAGAUUGUAGCUUAAAAGCUUAUUUUUCACACAGUAAGUACGAGGGCUUCUUCAACCCAAAUAAUAAACCAUUCACCAUAGAUACACAAAUGUUAUGCAAAAUAUUGAAGAAGCGCCAGUUGAUAUGAUGACUUGCAACCAACAGAUAAAGAAAGCAGAGAGAAACCAAAGGAGUCUGAGAGAGAGAGAGUGAGAGAGA
rnacentral:misc_RNA from 1 species